rnacentral:rRNA from 1 species
AGCGAACGCUGGCGGCAGGCCUAAACAUGCAAGUCGAACGGACCCUUCGGGGUUAGUGGCGGACGGGUGAGUAACACGUGGGAACGUGCCCUUUGGUUCGGAACAACUCAGGGAAACUUGAGCUAAUACCGGAUGUGCCCUACGGGGAAAAGAUUUAUCGCCAUUGGAGCGGCCCGCGUUGGAUUAGCUAGUUGGUGAGUAAAGGCUCACCAAGGCUACGAUCCAUAGCUGGUCUGAGAGGANGAUCAGCCACACUGGGACUGAGACACGGCCCAGACUCCUACGGGAGGCAGCAGUUAGGAAUCUUGCGCAAUGGGCGAAAGCCUGACGCAGCCAUGCCGCGUGAAUGAUGAAGGUCUUAGGAUUGUAAAAUUCUUUCAGCGGGACGAUAAUGACGGUACCCGCAGAGAAGCUCCGGCUAACUCCGUGCCAGCCGCCGCUGUAAG